CCAGAAGUGCACGCUAGUCUUUAGGGCUAAGCCAUGCACGUGCAAGUUCCGGGUUCCUUAUCCCGUACUAGUAUGUGUAGGCAGCGCAUUGGUUUCCCAUAUUGGGUGCUAAUGAAAUGACAUCUGAUGUGUCUAUACGUGCUGGCCGGGUAUCCUUAAGCCGCGUUCGGCUCAGUACAAAACUUAGAAUGAAGGUUGGAUCUUAACUAUGUACAUGGUGAGGGCGUCUUUCGGGGCGUCCGAUCCAUGCUUGGCGGCUCCUUCGCGGGGGUCGUCGGGCGACAUUGUUAUUUGGAUAACUGUGGAAAAGCCAUAGCUAAUACAUGCAAGCGUGCCGAGCCUUCACGGGCGACGUACGAACGACAAGCGUCACUCGCGUGGCGCUGCCGAGCGGUAAGCAAGUGUGAACUCUGCCGCUCGGCGUAGCGAUCCGAUCGCAACUAAUCGUAGCUGAUUUCUUCAUCAAUUGGUGUGGUGUAUCGUGCACACCAGAGAUGGCUACGGGUCACGGGGAAUUGGGGUUCGAUUCCGGAGAAGGCGCCUGAUACAUGGCUACUAACCCCAAGGGGUGCAGCAGGCUCGAAAAUUACCCAAUGAGAGCUACUCGAGGUAGCGAUGAUAUGUGAUGGUGCGAUCGCUCCUAGUAGUGAUCGCAAUCGGAAUGAGAGAAUCGUAAAGAACACACCGAAAGCCAUUGGAGGGCAAGUCUGGUGCCAGCAGCCGCGGUAAUUCCAGCUCCAAUGGCGUAUGUUUAUGCUGCUGCGGUUAAAAAGCUCGUAGUACAACCUCCGUGUUGGGCUACCGAUCCAUCCGCUGCGGGCGGAAUCGGUGUUGUUCAGCAAGUACAGCCAUUGCAAAUUCGAUUUCUCCUAGCCGUUGCCCUUCAGUGGGUGACGCUAGGUAGUAUAAGCAAAAUAAGGUUCGACUACCUAGAACAAAUUAAAGCGAUCCAAGCAAAGACGACUUAUGUAUAGAUUCGCUUGGUAUAGAUUACUGAUCGUGAGACGUGUCGCGGCCUAGUAAGCCGCAUGCCGUCGAUCACGAUAAGGCAACUAGCGGUAGGCGGGUGAACGUGUUAUAAUGGUGCGAGAGGUGAAAUUCAUAGACCGCCCGGAGAGCUGCCACAGCAAAGGCAGAGGUUGGCCACAGUCUUGAUUCAAUAACAGGCCGACCGAUAAAGAACGAAAGUUGGAGGAUCGAAGGCGAUCAGAUACCGCCCUAGUUUCAACCGUAAACUAUGCCAUCUUGGUGUUCGUUAGGAUCUACAGAAUAUCUAGCGAGUACCACUCGGGAAACCAAAGCUAUUGGGUUCCGGGGGAAGUAUGGUUGCAAAAUCGAAACUUAAAGGAAUUGACGGAAGGGCACCACCAGGAGUGGAGCUUGCGGCUUAAUUUGACUCAACACGGGAAAGCUUACCAGGCCCAUACAUGACCAUGAUAGACAGAUUAAUAGCUCUUUCUUGAUUUUAUGGAUAGUGGUGCAUGGCCGUUCUUAGUUGGUGGAGUGAUUUGUCUGGUUAAUUCCGUUAACGAGCGAGACUCCUGCUUGCUAAAUAGACACGUGCAUACCUAUGGGUGAAUGCUCGGCGGUGUCCGUGCAAGACUUGUGCGCGUCGCAGCAAUGUGGCGCGUGCGGUUGCGUGGCGGCCCGUCGACUUCGCUCUAGCUGUAUGUGAAUUUUAAAACUUCUUAGAAGGACAAGCUACACAUAGUAGCAUGAGAUGGAGCAAUAACAGGUCUGUGAUGCCCUUAGAUGUUCUGGGCUGCACGCGUGCUACAAUGAGUGACGCGACGAGUGUACCCGGACCGAAAGGUUCCUGGGAAAUCUUCGGAAUGUCAUCUCGUAGUUGGAAUUGAGGGUUGAAACUACGCCUCAUGAACCUGGAAUGCCUAGUAAGCUGGACUCACUAGUUCGUGUUGAUUUAGUCCCUGCCCUUUGUACACACCGCCCGUCGCUACUUCUGAUUGAGUGGAUUAGUGAGGUCUUUGAACUGUACGCUCGCGCGUGUGGGAAGAUGAUCGAACUUGUCCACUUAGAGGAAGUAAAA
rnacentral:rRNA from 1 species